AGCGAACGCUGGCGGCAGGCCUAACACAUGCAAGUCGAACGAACCCUUCGGGGUUAGUGGCGGACGGGUGAGUAACACGUGGGAACGUGCCUUUAGGUUCGGAAUAACUCAGGGAAACUUGUGCUAAUACCGAAUGUGCCCUUCGGGGGAAAGAUUUAUCGCCUUUAGAGCGGCCCGCGUCUGAUUAGCUAGUUGGGGAGGUAAUGGCUCACCAAGGCUACGAUCAGUAGCUGGUCUGAGAGGAUGACCAGCCACAUUGGGACUGAGACACGGCCCAAACUCCUACGGGAGGCAGCAGUGGGGAAUCUUGCGCAAUGGGCGAAAGCCUGACGCAGCCAUGCCGCGUGGAUGAUGAAGGUCUUAGGAUUGUAAAAUCCUUUCACCGGUGAAGAUAAUGACUGUAGCCGGAGAAGAAGCCCCGGCUAACUUCGUGCCAGCAGCCGCCGAAAGAC
rnacentral:rRNA from 1 species